rnacentral:rRNA from 1 species
UACGUAGGGUGCGAGCGUUAUCCGAAUUAUUGGGCGGUAAAGAGCUCGUAGGCGGUCUGUCGCGUCUGCUGUGAAAACCCGAGGCUCGAACCUCGGCCUGGCAGUGGGUACGGGCAGACUAGAGUGCGGUAGGGGAGAAUGGAAUUCCUGGUGUAGCGGUGGAAUGCGCAGAUAUCAGGAGGAACACCGAUGGCGAAGGCAGUUCUCUGGGCCGUAACUGACGCUGAGGAGCGAAAGCGUGGGGAGCAAACAGGG